GAUGAGCAUGCGUCCCAUUAGCUUGUUGGUAAGGUAACGGCUUACCAAGGCAACGAUGGGUAGGGGUCCUGAGAGGGAGAUCCCCCACACUGGUACUGAGACACGGACCAGACUCCUACGGGAGGCAGCAGUGAGGAAUAUUGGUCAAUGGGCGCAAGCCUGAACCAGCCAUGCCGCGUGCAGGAUGAAGCAUCUAUGGUGUGUAAACUGCUUUUGUACGAGAAGAAACACUCCUUCGUGAAGGAGCUUGACGGUAUCGUAAGAAUAAGGACCGGCUAACUCCGUGCCAGCAGCCGCGGUAAUACGGAGGGUCCAAGCGUUAUCCGGAAUCAUUGGGUUUAAAGGGUCCGUAGGCGGUUUUGUAAGUCAGUGGUGAAAGCCCAUCGCUCAACGGUGGAACGGCCAUUGAUACUGCAAGACUUGAAUUAUUGGGAAGUAACUAGAAUAUGUAGUGUAGCGGUGAAAUGCUUAGAGAUUACAUGGAAUACCAAUUGCGAAGGCAGGUUACUACCAAUAUAUUGACGCUGAUGGACGAAAGCGUGGGGAGCGAACAGGAUUAGAUACCCUGGUA
rnacentral:rRNA from 1 species